UUGGAUUCUGGUGUGGGAAGUUUGAGUUAUCUGCGUGCUAGAACCUUUAUGGUGCUGGUAUGUAGUUAAUUUGGGAUUAUGGUAUUGAAGUAUUUAUGGACUUGUGGCAUGGUUCAAAUGGUUGAGUUUUAAAGGCUGGGCAAGUUGCAGAAACAAGUAUAAGCUGCUGGAAUGUGCAGAUCAUAGCAAUAAUAAGAGAUAAGAAAAGUUGUUG
rnacentral:misc_RNA from 1 species